rnacentral:lncRNA from 1 species
UUUUAAAUAUGCAUGUUUUUAGGUGGUGAUUUGUCUCUUUGUAUACGUCAUUUCAUACACUUCAUGCAUGUUGUUGCACUAGAUCAGUUGCCUAUUUUAAUACAUGCUGUGUGUCCCAACACUUUAUGUGCUAAACUUUUUUGACAUAAACUAAAUGCAUUGUACCAAUCAUCGACUGAUAAUUAAUUUAUUCAUUCAUGCACAUCAAACAAGUAAACAUAUACGAGCGGAUUGGCUGCACUGCAGUAAUGAGUGAGUGCACUUAUUUGCUUAAUGCAAUAGUAUUUAUGUAGUCACUACCAUUAUUUUUUGCAUGCAUUUCGCGUGCAUUUGUAAUAACGAUUGUCUUAGCGUUGCACGUCCAUUCUGCACGUCUCUUUUGUACGUUGUUGUUUACGUACGUACGUGCGUUUAUUUUGCAGUGCAUUUGUCGCUAUUGUCGAAUGAUAAUGAUUGCACUCGUUUAUGCAAAUCAAAAAAGUGAACUAACAAAUGCAUUUAGCUGUUUUGCAUUGUCCAUGUACUCAUUUGCUCAAUGCAACGAUAGUAUCGUAUUCGCUACGCUUUUCUAGCGUGCAUUUCUAACUAUUCAACUUCCUCCGACGUUCUGCACAUGCUCAGUAGCGCGCGGAAAGUAUCGCUAAUCGUAGGCUCGAGCGACGCGAGAGGCAGCAGAAAGGCAGGAACGGCUGCACGAGGCGCUGCGUGCUGUUUGGAGGGCUGCCUGAAAUGAGACCAUCCUCUGCGUUUCUCAUGGACUGAGCUCUGCAGCGGGUGAAAGGAUGUGAAUCUCUCCCUUGUUCACUGUUCCUGGGAUGUGUCCAGCUCCACGGGCGUGUGAGGGAGACGCUGAUGGAUGAAAUGAUGGAGGAGUCGAGGGAACAGUCGGGGGGGAGUGGAGAGGAGGAGGAGACUGAGCCGGGUUUGUUGACUGAAAUAGUCCAGGUCGGCGUGGACGCUGAAUCAGGUGGAGAUGGGGAGAUAGCACCUGCUGAUUGGCUGGAACCACUGGAUGAGGAAUGUGGCGAGGCUGGGAAAGAAGGUGUGCAGAAUGGCAGCAGCGAGCAACAAGGCGGCAGAAGGAAAAGAGGAGGAUGGCGGAAAAGAAAAGGAGGAAGGCGGAAGGUCCUUUUGACUGAUGAUUGGAUAGACUGUUCUGAACUGGGCAAAGGCUGGAAGAAAAAAAUCAUUCAUCUGCGCAGCACUUCUGACAUACCCAAACAAACCAUGAACUACAUGAGUCCAAACGGCUUCCGCAUCAGGAGUAAAAAAAACCUUAAGAAACGUGUGAAGGUCGACGUGACUAACUUUGACUUCCAUAAAGGAAUAUUUGUGGAUGAUCUUGUCAAACCAAAGCGACAGCGGUCCAGAUCCUUACAUUCGUCGUUUUCUUUCUCCACUGAUGCCCUCCAAACCCAAGACAGUAUCACCGAGACCCCUCAGAAACCACGCCUCACCCGCAAAUCUCUUGCAGCAAGUGCAGCCGCACCUUUACCAUUAAAUGAGCUUUCUAGCAGCCCAUUAAAGCUAAGCCAUGUAUCCCCUACCACACAGCAAGCACCACAACCCAGCCUCUCACCCUCUCUACGACUGGGUGACUUCUCAACCCAAAUAGAGAACGAUUUUAUCACUCCUGAAAAAAACAAAACUGCAUUACUGUCCCGUUCCUGGCUCCAGUCCCCCCUGGCUCCUGUCAGCCCAGCUGAAACUCCAUCUGAGAAAGACCCGCCCACAUUCCUGAGUGCACUUAAAAGCUCCCCAGACAUCCAUCGGCCAUCGGACGCCAGUGCAGCGAUCAAUGGAGAGAAGCAGGAGAAUGGUUUCUCUUACAAGAUCUGUGUAAGCUGCGGAUCUCAGUACCUUAAUUCAGAUUGUAAAGAUGACGGCUUGUGUAUCCUGUGCUCAGUAAAGCCAAGGCAGCGGCCUCCUCCUCACAUUAUCUUUAAAAAGGUGGGACAAGAUAAGUGGAUAGUUGGGAAAAGAAAAUCUGAAGGCUUCAUGAAAAAGAAGAUUACUAAGCUAGGGAAGAAAAGUAAAUCUGUGAGUAUUGAAACGAAUACAUUCUUUAUUUAUAGACUUUAAUUAUAAAUAGUUGAUGCUUAUGAAUGUAAAAUCGCUGCACAACUGAGGUAAAUGCUCAGUUGUGUUUUUAUAUUAAUAUUUUAUCAUUUUAGCUGAUUCUCUUAUCCGGAGCAAUUUAAAAUUUAAUGAUGUUAAACAGGGAGACAACUGCAGGGUUAGGAGUGUCUCAGGUGGAAAGUGUGUAGGCGUGAACGCAAGCCUUUGUGGACCAAUCACAUCUGCUGCAGUCUGAGUUGCCCGGUGCUCAAUUACAUUCCUGGGGCAUCAGUUGUUACUUGUGUUGUAAUAGAGCUUUAACAGUGGUGAGGAGCUGUUUAAGGCAGCCUGUGGAGAUAUUAACAUAGUGUGUGUGUGUGUGUGUGUGUUUGUUUGUGUGUGUGUGUGUGAGUUGCAGAAAUCAGUGCAAUUGUUGGCCAGAAAGGAAAAGAAAAAAGAAAAUCCGGAAAUCAAAACGGUGAGAUUUUAAUGUCUGGUAUUGUUUAAGACCUGAGAAAUAACUGUAUUAAUGGGUACAAAAGUAC